ACCUCUGUGGUGUGGUGGAAUCACGCGUCUCCGGCAUGAGACGUACACGGGUUUAACUCCCGCCUGGGGUU